rnacentral:rRNA from 1 species
GUGGGGAAUUUUGGACAAUGGGCGCAAGCCUGAUCCAGCAAUGCCGCGUGCAGGAAGAAGGCCUUCGGGUUGUAAACUGCUUUUGUACGGAACGAAAAGGCUCUGGUUAAUACCUGGGGCUCAUGACGGUACCGUAAGAAUAAGCACCGGCUAACUACGUGCCAGCAGCCGCGGUAAUACGUAGGGUGCAAGCGUUAAUCGGAAUUACUGGGCGUAAAGCGUGCGCAGGCGGUUUUGUAAGACAGACGUGAAAUCCCCGGGCUCAACCUGGGAAUGGCGUUUGUGACUGCAAAGCUGGAGUGCGGCAGAGGGGGAUGGAAUUCCGCGUGUAGCAGUGAAAUGCGUAGAUAUGCGGAGGAACACCGAUGGCGAAGGCAAUCCCCUGGGCCUGCACUGACGCUCAUCCACGAAAGCGUGGGGAGCAAACAGGAUUAGAAACCCGGGUAGUCC